AGACCAAAGUGGGGGACCUUCGGGCCUCAUGCCAUCAGAUGUGCCCAGAUGGGAUUAGCUAGUAGGUGGGGUAACGGCUCACCUAGGCGACGAUCCCUAGCUGGUCUGAGAGGAUGACCAGCCACACUGGAACUGAGACACGGUCCAGACUCCUACGGGAGGCAGCAGUGGGGAAUAUUGCACAAUGGGCUAAUCGGAAUUACUGGGCGUAAAGCGCACGCAGGCGGUCUGUCAAGUCGGAUGUGAAAUCCCCGGGCUCAACCUGGGAACUGCAUUCGAAACUGGCAGGCUAGAGUCUUGUAGAGGGGGGUAGAAUUCCAGGUGUAGCGGUGAAAUGCGUAGAGAUCUGGAGGAAUACCGGUGGCGAAGGCGGCCCCCUGGACAAAGACUGACGCUCAGGUGCGAAAGCGUGGGGAGCAAACAGGAUUAGAUACCCUGGUAGUCCACGCCGUAAACGAUGUCGAUUUGGAGGUUGUGCCCUUGAGGCGUGGCUUCCGGAGCUAACGCGUUAAAUCGACCGCCUGGGGAGUACGGCCGCAAGGUUAAAACUCAAAUGAAUUGACGGGGGCCCGCACAAGCGGUGGAGCAUGUGGUUUAAUUCGAUGCAACGCGAAGAACCUUACCUGGUCUUGACAUCCACAGAACUUUCCAGAGAUGGAUUGGUGCCUCAAGUCAUCAUGGCCCUUACGACCAGGGCUACACACGUGCUACAAUGGCAUAUACAAAGAGAAGCGACCUCGCGAGAGCAAGCGGACCUCAUAAAGUAUGUCGUAGUCCGGAUUGGAGUCUGCAACUCGACUCCAUGAAGUCGGAAUCGCUAGUAAUCGUAGAUCAGAAUGCUA
rnacentral:rRNA from 1 species